AUAAAAAGAGAAGUGCAGAGACCAAAAGGGAGGUGAAUUUCUGGGACGUUUGGGCUGGCGUGUGGAGGUAUUCGAGGACUAUUGUGGGGUUUCGGCUAUCUGGCUGUGCAACAGUUAUAUCAGCGAUCGAGUGGAGAUAUUCAGGACAGAAAGAGUGUGAGUUCUGGAAAGCAAGUGGAGAUCAGGCCGCGCCAUCACUAUCGGAGGGAAGUUAAGAGACCUGAUCUGGGACUUCGAUCAAUUGUAUACAUCUGGACUGGGAGUGAUAACGUUGUGAAGUGGACGGAGCCAUCGUUGGAUCGCAGGAUCCUCUGGGCUGAACGCCGCAUGUGAUGUCCCUAUGAAAGGAGAUCGCAGGAUCCUCUGGGCUGAACGCCGCAUGUGAUGUCCCUAUGAAAGGAGGUGGACACAAGAAUUAUUCUUUUCCCGGUUACAACCGAAGCAUCCCCCAGCCGUAAGCCCUAUUACUUAUUCAAGAACACCUACUUACUGUUGAUUACUUACUCCGCUGUGCAGAUCGCAGGAUCCUCUGGGCUGAACGCCGCAUGUGAUGUCCCUAUGAAAGGAGGUGGACACAAGAAUUCUUCUUUUCCCGGUUACAACCGAAGCAUCUCCCAGCCGUAAGCCCCA